rnacentral:rRNA from 1 species
UACAGAGGUCUCAAGCGUUGUUCGGAUUCAUUGGGCGUAAAGGGCGCGUAGGCGGCCUGCUAAGUCGGACGUGAAAUCCCUCGGCUCAACCGGGGAACUGCGUCCGAUACUGGCGAGGCUUGAAUCCGGGAGAGGGAUGUGGAAUUCCAGGUGUAGCGGUGAAAUGCGUAGAUAUCUGGAGGAACACCAGUGGCAGAAGGCGGCAUCCUGGACCGGCAUUGACGCUGAGGCGCGAAAAGCUAGGGUAGCAAACGGG